rnacentral:rRNA from 1 species
GACGAACGCUGGCGGCGUGCUUAACACAUGCAAGUCGAACGGAGUGGCGAACGGGUGAGUAACACGUGGGUGAUCUGCCUUGCACUUCGGGAUAAGCUUGGGAAACUGGGGCUAAUACCGGCUAGUGAAAGAUGGGCGCGCGGCCUAUUAGCUUGUUGGUGGGGUAAUGGCCUACCAAGGGGGCGACGGGUAGCCGGCCUGGGAGGGUGUACGGCCACAAUGGGACUGAGGUAGGGCCCAGAGGGCAACGUGAGGCAGUGGGGGGGAAUAUUGCACAAUGGGCGGAAGCCUGAUGCAGCGACGCCGGGUGGGGGAAGAAGGCCUUCGGGGUGUAAACUGCUUUCGACAGGGACGCGGUACCUGUAUAAGAAGCACCGGCUAACUACGUGCCAGCAGCCGCGGUAAUUC